UGAGGAAUAUUGGUCAAUGGUCGCUAGACUGAACCAGCCAAGUAGCGUGCGGGAUGAAGGCCCUCCGGGUCGCAAACCGCUUUUAGACGGGGAUAAAAGGGCGUACGUGUACGCCGUAUUGCAUGUACCGUCAGAAAAACGGACCGGCUAAUUCCGUGCCAGCAGCCGCGGUAAUACGGAAGGUCCGGGCGUUAUCCGGAUUUAUUGGGUUUAAAGGGAGCGUAGGCGGACUUUCAAGUCAGUGGUAAAAUCGUGUGGCUCAACCAUACCUCGCCAUUGAAACUGGAAGUCUGGAGUGCACACAGGGGUGCCGGAAUUCAUGGUGUAGCGGUGAAAUGCUUAGAUAUCAUGAAGAACUCCGAUCGCGAAGGCAAGUGCCCGGGGUGCAACUGACGCUGAGGCUCGAAGGUGCGGGUAUCGAACAGGAUUAGAUACC
rnacentral:rRNA from 1 species